UUAUUUGUGAGGAAUUUGUUUCAGCAAAUGAGAGACAGUGAUGAUGCUCAGGCUGUCUCCUGAGAUGAGUACCAUCUGGGGAAAAAAAAAAGUCUAAAUUCAACAGGACUGAUUUUUUUUUUUUCCCCACUAAUGAACUAAAGCCAAGUUUUGUGCCUGUCCUGCUGCAUCUUUGCAGAAAGAAGCUCUUUAGUCCCGCGAGAGGGGCCACCUUUCCGGCCAGAUAAAGGAGAAGUCCCAGAAACCUUGAUUGCACCCUGGCUAUGAGUCCAACGCAGAGGGCUGCUUGACAACGGGAACGCUAGAGCUAACUCAAGAGAUAAUCAAGAGUCAGAUCCAGACCUCAGAAGAUCGUCCAAAGGAAAGACCCGGCCACAGAAACCAAGAGAGUCAUCCGUCCGCCCCAGUUACCCAGGAGGAGCUGGAAAAGCCGUGUGGGCACCCAGACGGCACCGAGGCCCUCAGGGAGAGCCUGUCCGCCCCGCUGAGGAGCCGCCAGCGAAGGCGAGGAGGGUGCAGGGUCCCAGAGGACAAGCUGAGAACGCACUUCUGGAAGACAGAGGCACUGAUCCAGGGAGCAACCCCAUUAACCUUCCGGCACACAGUCUCCACCCGAGUCCGCUUUCUGGGGACCUGACCUUCUAGAAUCACCCGUCGCUUUGGAA